rnacentral:rRNA from 1 species
ACGGGUGAGUAACACGUGGGUAACCUGCCCAAGAGGCUGGGAUAACACCUGGAAACAGAUGCUAAUACCGGAUAACAACACUAGACGCAUGUCUAGAGUUUAAAAGAUGGUUCUGCUAUCACUCUUGGAUGGACCUGCGGUGCAUUAGCUAGUUGGUAAGGUAACGGCUUACCAAGGCAAUGAUGCAUAGCCGAGUUGAGAGACUGAUCGGCCACAUUGGGACUGAGACACGGCCCAAACUCCUACGGGAGGCAGCAGUAGGGAAUCUUCCACAAUGGACGCAAGUCUGAUGGAGCAACGCCGCGUGAGUGAAGAAGGGUUUCGGCUCGUAAAGCUCUGUUGGUAGUGAAGAAAGAUAGAGGUAGUAACUGGCCUUUAUUUGACGGUAAUUACCUAGAAAGUCACGGCUAACUACGUGCCAGCAGCCGCGGUAAUACGUAGGUGGCAAGCGUUGUCCGGAUUUAUUGGGCGUAAAGCGAGUGCAGGCGGUUCAAUAAGUCUGAUGUGAAAGCCUUCGGCUCAACCGGAGAAUUGCAUCAGAAACUGUUGAACUUGAGUGCAGAAGAGGAGAGUGGAACUCCAUGUGUAGCGGUGGAAUGCGUAGAUAUAUGGAAGAACACCAGUGGCGAAGGCGGCUCUCUGGUCUGCAACUGACGCUGAGGCUCGAAAGCAUGAGUGGCGAACAGGAUUAGAUACCCUGGUAGUCCAUGCCGUAAACGAUGAGUGCUAAGUGUUGGGAGGUUUCCGCCUCUCAGUGCUGCAGCUAACG